rnacentral:rRNA from 1 species
GAUGAACGCUCGCGGCAGGCUUAAUACAUGCAAGUCGAGGGGCAGCAUGUCCCGUAGCAAUACGGGAUGAUGGCGACCGGCAAACGGGUGCGGAACACGUACAGAACCUUCCUUCGAGCGGGGGAUAGCCCAGAGAAAUUUGGAUUAAUACCCCAUAGUACAACAAUGUGGCCUCACUUUGUUGUUAAAGAUUUAUCACUCGAAGAUGGCUGUUCGGCUGAUUAGGUAGUUGGCGGGGUAACGGCCCACCAAGCCUGCGAUCAGUAACUGGUGUGUGAUCACGACCAGUCACACGGACAAUGAGACACGGGCCCGACACCUACGGGAGGCAGCAGUAAGGAAGAUUGGUCAAUGGACGAAAGACUGAACCAGCCAUGCCGCGUGGAGGAUGAAGGGCCUCUGGAUUGUAAACUUCUUUUAUAUGGGACGAAAAAAGGCCUUUCUAGGUCGUCUGACGGUACCAUAGAAAUAAGCACCGGCUAACUCCGU